UGGUUGUGCAAGGAGGAAGUAAGGUGACAAUUACAUUACUUUCCCAUCCCUAAGGGUUUUAAAUUGACUCUGUUCUUCUAACCUAUGCGUUCUUUGAAAAGCCUAAGGAAGUUGGAAAUUGGAAUUAAUUAUGGAAUAAAGGAAUAAAUAUAAAUUUCAGGCCUCCAAACAAUCUAUUGAGAUUGUUGUGCUCUUAUUUAGGGAUUUGAGAAAUAUUUCACUGGCUGCAUUCCGACAUUUAUAUGAGGGUUAUUUGGCUCACUAGUUUUUCAAUUUCAUUUUAUGGAAAUCUUAGAAGGAAUAUUCAGUGGAAAGUAUCUUGAUCUGAUGCUUUCUGUAUUGUUUUAAAUAAAACACAUAAAAUUGUUUUCAGAGGCAUAAUUUGGUGGGUCUCCCUAAUACAAUUGUAUCAAUCAUAUCCUUAUAUCCACCCAUGUGGUUUAGCCUAUGAGAUGAAUUCAGAUAGCAAAGCUAUUAAUAAAGACGUGGAGAAAUAGUAAGCACUAAAGAUGUCAUAAUGUAUUAUGUACAUUUGAACUCAAAAUGCAAUGAUUUCUCUUCUCUAAUGAAUUUGUUGCCAUCUACUUCUACUUCUGUGAUGUGAUUUCAUUUGUAGUUACAGUUGAUCUCAUUGUUACUUCCGUGCUUUAGCUUAACCAACUGAUUGCCUUUUUCUUUUCCUUAGGGAAAG
rnacentral:misc_RNA from 1 species